UGGGGCGGGUGCGGGAGCAGGGGGAAUCGGAGGAGAGCUGGGGGAACAGCUCACUCCCUGAGACUCAGAACCCAGUGUCUCAGAAAUGCCAUCCAGUACACCUCCCGCUCUUCUAAAGGCGUCUAUUCGUUCUUAGCAUUCUGGAUCCACCAGAUAAAGAAAGAAUAUAUCAACAAAGACGGGGAAAGACGAAAAUGGUUGUUCAGCGAUCCAUUCACGUACGUGUAGUUCAUCUCCAAGGCUUCCAAGAAAGCAGCUGCGCACCAAAUCCCUUCCGACGCUGUCUGUAUCUGAGCCUCCUGGGAGAUAAUCCUCUUAAUGGAAUAUUUAAGAAAUCGGAUAUAAAUCACCAACCUUUUAUCUCACCUGAAGAUCCCUCCUCCAUAGGGCGGGUGAUGGCGGAUGGCGCAUACGUCUAUCUACAUACGGAAAUUAAUGAGAAAAACGAACACAGCCUGGCAGAAAGCGGUUGUGUUGAACUUAUCAAUGACAGGCCCUGGGAGACAUGUGAGAGUUGCUUCGGGAUGCCUGAGGAAAGUUCUUCAAGAUGUUAGAAUUUUACUUUAGACAUUCUGGAAUGUAAAUCCAUCCUGAUUCCAAGAGCUUAUCAACACUCUGCCUGGUCCCGAUGGUUCUUCCCAUUGCCACAGGGUCAAGGUUACGAAGGAAACGUGAGCUUUUGACUCAGAGGCCCAGGCCUAGGACCAGAAGUGAGAGGACCAGAGUACAGCUCCUGCUGGGAGUCUUGGCAAAGCAAAGCUGCAAGCCUUGUUGAGAAAUCGCACACGCGUGAUGUUUCGUACCUUUGAAUUUUACAGGUACUACCUCUUCAAAAAUAAAAAUAAAAUGAAAACUGUCUUGGUGAGCACGUGACUAACAGUAAGUGUUGAUUUCAUAAUUCGAUGUCUUGCAAUCCUUCACAAGCCUCCUUCUGGUUGGGUCUGGCGAUGAACCUUGACUUAUGCUACCAAAACCAUUUCAUGCAUUGUCUUUGACACAAACCUUUGCCUUUCAGUGAGCAUAAACCAGAAAAGUCUAGAUGCUACAGAGUUCUUACUGGGGCUCACUGACUGGAAAGUUGGCUUUAUUAAAAGAUGUACUUGCC